GCAGUUCAGUGAGGAGGGUUAGAGACACAAUUACCAGGGACUGAUAAGUGAAUGUGAGAAGAUAAAGUGAAUUCAAUAAGAGUAGACAGCUUUUGCUAAGAUUUUGGCUAUGAAAGAGAGCAGAGAUAGAGGAAUUUGAGGGAAUGGUAGGACUGAACACAUGGUUGCAUUUUUUAAGGAUGGGGGAGAGCUGAGCAUGUUUAUAGCCACAGAGAAAAAGAAAUGGUAGAUGAGGAGAGGUUGAACAUUAAGGAGAGAAGAGGCUGAUUAAAGGAGACAUGUCUCACAAGAAAUGAAAGGAUAGCACUAAUAGUAGAAUUGCUGGCAUUUGAAAAAUGAUGAACUAAUUUUUUCUUCUAGGAUUGAAACAAAGGAGGAGAUUGUGAAGAAUGGUGUAAAAGUAAUUUGGAGUAUGAAGUCUGACAUAAGAAGAAGCUUGUGGCACAAGAACUCUUUUUUUUCCGGGUGAUUUGAAGGUGACAAUGCAGCAAAUGUUGGCAGAACACAAUCACAUCACCUUAUGCCUUCCCAUCUUCAAGACUGGUGAAUUCUCCAAACUGUGCUGGCUGGAUUUUUCAUCAGUCACAACAGUCUUGAUCUGUCAACUCAACCCCACCUGCACUAGAAGUACCAAUAUGUAUCCUUAGCCUGUGUUGGGCAA
rnacentral:lncRNA from 1 species